rnacentral:rRNA from 1 species
CAGCAGUCGCCACGGUAAAACGAAGGGUGCAAGCGUUAAUCGGAAUUAUUGGGCGUAAAGCGUGCGUAGGCGGUGGGUUAAGUCUGCUGUGAAAUCCCCGGGCUCAACCUGGGAAUGGCAGUGGAUACUGGCUCGCUAGAGUGUGUCAGAGGAUGGUGGAAUUCCCGGUGUAGCGGUGAAAUGCGUAGAGAUCGGGAGGAACAUCAGUGGCGAAGGCGGCCAUCUGGGACAACACUGACGCUGAGGCACGAAAGCGUGGGGAGCAAACAGGAUUAGAUACCCCGGUAGUCCCUGUCUCUUAUAC